rnacentral:rRNA from 1 species
AUGGAGUCGGAGGGGCAGGACAGGCCGCUGGGCGAGGGGGAAGCAAACGCCGGCGGGGUGGCUGAGCCGGGGGCGAUGGCGAUGGUGCCGGUGCCGGUACGCGGGGGGUACAUGGUGGUGCCCAAGCCGGAGCCGGUGGAGCUCUUCGGGGCCGGCGGGGGCGGGAUGGUGGUGCGCAAGCCGCCGCCGAGGAACCGGGACCGGCACACCAAGGUCGAGGGCCGCGGCCGCCGGAUCCGCAUGCCGGCCGCCUGCGCCGCCAGGAUCUUCCAGCUCACCCGCGAGCUAGGGCACAAGUCGGACGGCGAGACCGUGCGCUGGCUGCUGCAGCAGUCCGAGCCGGCCAUCGUCGCCGCCACCGGCACCGGCACCGUGCCCGCCAUCGCCACCACCGUCGACGGCGUGCUCCGGAUCCCCACCCAGUCCGCCUCCUCCGCCGUCGUCGACGACGAGGCCUCCGCCAAGCGCCGCCGCAAGCUGCAGCCCACGCGCGCCGCCGGACCGCUCGCCACCGUGCCGCCCACCGCCGCCUACUACUCCGUCCUCGCCGACCCUCUCCUGCAGGGCGGCGCCGGGAGCGCGGCCAUUUCCGUCGCCAGCGGCCUCGCUCCAAUCGGCGGUCAGCAGGGCCUCGUCCCCGUCUUCGCCGUCCCGUCCGCCGCUGGGGCCGCCGGAGCCAACCACAUGAUCCCGCAGGCCACCGCCGUGUGGAUGGUCCCGCAGCCGGCCGGCGCCCCCAACCAGCCCACCCAGUACUGGGCCUUCCAGUCCGCGCCACAGCUCAUCAACCUCGCCGGCGCGCAGACCAUGCCGGCUGGAGCUGUGUUCCCCAACGUUGCCGCCGACUACCAUCAACAGCAGCAGUCUGCUUCUACCGUGGUCCAGAACACCAACUCGGACCACCACCAGCAGCAGUUCAGCCAUCAUCUCACCGGCGCCGAGUCGCACGAGCAGCAGCGCCGCGACCACCACCCGGAGGAGGACGACGCCGAUGAUGACGACGAGCCAGUCUCCGACUCCAGCCCAGAAGACUAA